rnacentral:lncRNA from 1 species
UGGGAUACUAUUGAAACUAGUCUCUGGUUUGGAGACACCGACAUUGCUCGCUUCUGGUCCAUCCGAGCUGAGCGGGCAGACAACUGGGACCUUACAGAGAUCGAUGCCAUUCAGCCAGAUCUAUCUUUUCUUGCCAACCGAGAGUGGGAACUAGAACAGGAUUAUGUUUGCCUAUUCCAACGUAUAACGCCACCUGUCUCUGACAUGAUGGGGCUUAUUGACUGUAUACCACUGGAAGCAUUGAGUUUAGUUCCUCCUCCCCAGCAACCAAGCCUGUUAUCAGGGGACCUUGGUAC